UGGGGAAUUUUCCGCAAUGGGCGAAAGCCUGACGGAGCAACGCCGCGUGAGGGAUGAAGGCCUCUGGGCUGUAAACCUCUUUUCUCAAGGAAGAAGACCUGACGGUACUUGAGGAAUAAGCCACGGCUAAUUCCGUG
rnacentral:rRNA from 1 species